rnacentral:rRNA from 1 species
UACGAAGGGGGCUAGCGUUGUUCGGAAUCACUGGGCGUAAAGCGCACGCAGGCGGAUUGUUAAGUCAGGGGUGAAAUCCCGGAGCUCAACUUCGGAAUUGCCUUUGAUACUGUCUGUCUUGAGUCCGGGAGAGGUGAGUGGAAUUCCGAGUGUAGAGGUGAAAUUCGUAGAUAUUCGGAGGAACACCAGAAGCGAAGGCGGCCAACUGGCCCGAUACUGACGCUGAGGCGCGAAAGCGUGGGGAGCAAACAGG